CAGAAAGGAGCCGUCCGGACUAGCCAAGGAGACUGCCUGCGAGACCACACGAAGAGCAAGCAGCCCGAGCUCACUUCAAGAGGCCACAGGCAAGUCAUCAUUGGCUAUCUAGACAGACUCUUAUCA
rnacentral:pre_miRNA from 1 species